AACGAACGCUGGCGGCAUGCCUAACACAUGCAAGUCGAACGAAGCCUUCGGGCUUAGUGGCGCACGGGUGCGUAACGCGUGGGAAUCUGCCCUUGGGUUCGGAAUAACAGUUAGAAAUGACUGCUAAUACCGAAUGAUGUCUUCGGACCAAAGAUUUAUCGCCCAAGGAUGAGCCCGCGUCGGAUUAGCUGGUUGGUGAGGUAAAGGCUCACCAAGGCGACGAUCCGUAGCUGGUCUGAGAGGAUGAUCAGCCACACUGGGACUGAGACACGGCCCAGACUCCUACGGGAGGCAGCAGUGGGGAAUAUUGGACAAUGGCGAAAGCCUGAUCCAGCAAUGCCGCGUGAGUGAUGAAGGCCUUAGGGUUGUAAAGCUCUUUUACCCCGGGAUGAUAAUGACAGUACCGGGAGAAUAAGCCCCGGCUAACUCCGUGCCAGCAGCCGCGGUAAU
rnacentral:rRNA from 1 species